CCUACGGGUGGCUGCAGUGGGGAAUAUUGCGCAAUGGGCGAAAGCCUGACGCAGCGACGCCGCGUGAGGGAUGAAGGUCUUCGGAUCGUACACCUCUGUCAGCAGGGAGGAACGGUCACUGUGCUAAUCAGCAGUGAAUUGACGGUACGUGCAAAGGAAGCACCGGCUAACUCCGUCCCAGCAGCCGCGGUAAUACGGAGGGUGCGAGCGUUAAUCGGAAUUACUGGGCGUAAAGGGCUCGUAGGCGGUAUGGUAAGUCAGGGGUGAAAUCCCCGCGCUCAACGUGCGAAAUGACUGUGAAACUGGCAAACUAGAGAGUGUGAGAGGAUAGUGGAAUUCCAGGUGUAGGAGUGAAAUACGUAGAGAUCUGGAGGAACAUCAGUGGCGAAGGCGACUAUCUGGCACAUAACUGACGCUGAGGAGCGAAAGCGUGGGUAGCAAACAGGAUUAGAUACCCUUGUAGUC
rnacentral:rRNA from 1 species